rnacentral:rRNA from 1 species
UACGUAGGGCGCAAGCGUUAUCCGGAAUUAUUGGGCGUAAAGAGCUCGUAGGCGGCUUGUCGCGUCGGCUGUGAAAACCUGGGGCUCAACCCCGGGCCUGCAGCCGAUACGGGCAGACUAGAGGUAUGCAGGGGAGAACGGAAUUCCUGGUGUAGCGGUGGAAUGCGCAGAUAUCAGGAGGAACACCGGUGGCGAAGGCGGUUCUCUGGGCAUGACCUGACGCUGAGGAGCGAAAGCAUGGGGAGCGAACAGG